GCGCUUGCUUUGGCAGCACAUAUGCUAAAAAUGGAACAAUACAGAGAAGAUUAGGAUGGCCCCUGUGCAAGGAUGACACGCAAACUUGUGAAGCAUUCCAUAAAAAA